rnacentral:sRNA from 1 species
GUGAAGGGUCUACGCGGAAAACAAUUGUGUUAGAUCGAUCCACCACUAUCACGGUACUCAUGACACAAUGCAAAUCCAAGUUAAAAAUGAAAAAGAAGCCUUCACGAGUAUUUUUUGUUGAUAUCGAUUCUAAAAUUGAAAUGGAUUUAACAAACGAUCUAAGUGGGAUAGAUGAUGGUACUUUGAUCUAUGUGACGAGUUAUGCAGUGAAUAAUGUAUCA